CCUUUGCCUAAAAAAAUAAAAUAAAAUACAGAUAAAUUCAUAUAGCUGAUUAUGCGAAAAUUCAAUAAACAUAUUCUCCGCAUAUGAUCGAUUUAAUUUGAAAAUAAAAGAUGUAAAAUAAGACAAAUAUAACUUAUAAUAUAAAAUAUAAAUAAAUAGCAUAUGCAAGAGUGAAAGAAAAUUUCACUAAAAUAAACCACCACACACAAUCUGUUUAUAUAUCUAUUUCUAAAAAUUGUACUUUUUUUAGCCCACUUUUAAAAUAAAUAAUUCGUUGUAGGCCGUUCGCUUUCUGUGAUAUUUUGUUUCCAGUUUUAUUGAAAGAUGGAUGAGACAAACAUCGCGAAGAAACAUCCCCGGGAAUGUUGGCAUAAUUUUAGCAUUCGAAUUCUUUUCAAAGUGGCGUUAACGAUGAAAGUAAUGUCAAGGAACGUGUAAGGAAGUUUUUUUGAUAUCGUGCUUGUGAUACACCAUGAGAGAACCGAAGAGGCUCAAUUCGAUUAAUCAUUUCACAAUGAUGACUUUGUCGACAGAAAACGCCACGCUAAAACGUACACACGCAUACUCGCGUGCGACACACGACGUGACAGCAACUUAAACGAGCUUGCGAUAGAGAAGAAAGAUGUUACUUUUCAAUGUUACGUCUAAGCGAAAGAGGACGGAAAAGCGUCGCGAAACAUCCGGCUUCAUAGAAGCUGCAAGAAAGUGACAAAGAGUUCGACGCGUGGGCGAUCGAGAUCGAAAGAGAGAAGCAGAAUGAGAGGACCGAGGUCAUGAGCCCCUUCGACGUAAUGCGUUCUCUUUGGCGGAAUUUCUCAUUGAUGCCCGGCUAUUCGAAUGGAUAUUUUUGGCCCCGCAAAUACUAUCUCGCGCUCUCGGGAUUUCGAUGCAACUGCAUAUACGGGUUACGCACGAGCCGGCUUCCUUUUUCGCGUUACUGUUGAUUUUAUAGCGUUUAGCUUUUAAACGUUCUUCAAGGAUAUAAGAUACGAAAGGUACACAAAGUAUGUUAGAUACCGCGUGUAGCAUAAAAUACCAUGUAUGGUAUACACAUUAUGUAUAGUGUACUUUGUGCGAUGAGAUCGAUGACGGCGGAAAUUUCUGUUGCUUUUUAGAUCGCAACUCUAUAAUGCUUUCAAGUUCUUUGUGCGCCAUCGAAAAUUUCGUCGGGUGUUCCUUUAUAAUCGUCGAGCCGUAACACAUCGUAACGACGUCCGAAGGAAGGAAAAAUAUGAGGAAAGUUCAUUCGUGAGUGAAUGCGAGUGAAUGCUAGGAAACGAAUGAAUAAGUUUGUAUGAUUACAACGUGAGAUCCCCCGUUUCGCCUAUGAUAUUUAUACUACAUUUUUAUUAUUCGUCAUCGGAAUUUUUAUCAGGCACGAGACGAAUCGCAAGAAGAGAAGAAAGAAUUGCAACUCGCAUUCUGAAUUUUAAUUACACGAAUCCUUGACCAGUUAUUUAAGUUGUACGUUCUUAAAUUUUACGGAUAUCGAUAUCCUCUCUCGUUUCCAAGAAAGAUACUCGUCGUAGAAAAUUCGAAAUUGUGAAUGGGAAUUUGAGAAGGAAUGAAUGACGCGCAUAUGCAAUAUAAUCCGCGAAUGGACGGAUCGAUUCCCCCUAUUCGUUUUCUUCUUUCCGGAGUACAUACAUUCAUACUAGGCGGAUAAGAAAACGGCGUGAGAAAACGUGAUCGUUUGUCACCUGUUGCCGCCUGAAAGCCGAUAAGCUUAGCUUUCUGUUGCUAGUAUUACAUUAUUAUUGUUGUAAAGCUUCAGUGUUGUAUGUAGCGAUCGCGAACUAACAAUAAGUUCUCACUUGUCAGAUAUCGGAUUUGUAUAUGACGUAAUAGAUUCUAUAUUCCUGAUUCUGAUUUAGCUAAAAUGUGAAUAUUUAUGAUAACACAGGCACAAUCGCAAUGUGUAUUUUUUUAACAGAUCGUGGUAGACUAGGGUUGGAUUCUCGAUAUAUGACGGCGAGAGGACAGCGAAACUAUUUAUUGAAAAAAUUUCAGAAUAAUCGACUAAUCAUAUUAUU